rnacentral:lncRNA from 1 species
AAAUAGAAGACUCAUAACAUUGUAAUCAUCAAACACAUAGAUUUGGGCAAGUCCACCAUUUCUGGCCAUCUCUUCUACAAGUGUGGAAUAGAAAAGUUUGAAAAGGUAGUGGCCAAGGUAGGAAAAGUGUUCUUACUUGGUCAUGGACAAGCUGAAAGCUGAAUAUGAACAUAAUAUCACAAUUGCUAUCUCCCUGUAAAAAAUUAAGACCACUAAUACUAUGUAACUAUCACUGCUGCUCCAGGACACAGAGACUUUACCAAAGCGUGAUUACAGGCAAGUGUCAGGCUGGUUGUCCUAUCCUGAGUAUUGUUGCCGGUGUUGAUGAAUUUGAAGCCAAUAUAUCCCAAAAUAGGCAGACUCCUGAGCAUCUGAGCAUUCCACAGAGGCUUACACACUGGAUGUGAGCCAACCUACGUCCAGAAGUGAUAUGAGAAAAUUGUUAAAAAAAAGUACCUAUAUUAAGGAAAUUGGUUACAAUCUUGAGACAGCAUUUGUGCCCAUUUCUGGUUGGGAUGGUUAAAGCAUGCUAGAACAAAGUGAUAAAAUAUGCCUUGGUUCAAGGGAUGAAGAGUCACCUGCAAGGAUAGAAAUGUCACUGGGACUAUACUGCUGGAAGGUUUGAACUGUAUUCUGCCACCAACUCAUUCAACUGACAAGCCUUUAUGACUGCCUUUCCAGUAUGUCUAUAAAAUUGUGUUGUCUUGGUACUGUCCCUUUGGGCCAAGUGGAAAUUGUUGUUCUCAAACCUGGCAUAGGUUAUCUUUGUUUCAGUCCAUGUCACAACAAAAGAAAAGUGUUAAAAUGUGUUAUGAGGCUUUGGCUGAAACUUCUUGGGGACAAUGAGGGCUUUCAAUGUAAUAAAGAGUGUGUCUGUCAAAGAUGUUAGAAAUGGCAGUGCUACUGGUGACAGAAAAAAAAAAGCCACGACUGGAAGCAUCUAGUGUCAUUGAUCAGGUGAGUUUUCUUAAUCAUCUAGACCAAAUUAUUGCUGGCUAUGUCUCUGUAUUGUAUUGUCAUAUGGCUCCCAUGGCUUGCAAAUUUUCUAAACUUAAAGUAAAGAUUGAUCAUUGUUCUGGUAAGAAGCUAAAACAUGGCUUCAAAUUCUUGAAAUCCAGUGAUGCAGCUAUUGUUGAUAUGGUUGCAGGUAAGCCAAUUCAGGUUGAGAGCUUCUCUGACUAUCCUCUGCUGGGUCACUUUGCUGUGAGGCAGGCAGUUGUGUCAUCAACACUAUGGACGAGAAAGCUGCUGGAAAAUUCACCACAUUUUCCAAGAAAGCUCUAAAA